rnacentral:rRNA from 1 species
GUCUAUGGCCAUGCCACUCUGAACAAGCCCGAUCCUGUCUGAUCUCGGAAGCUAAGCAGGGUCAGGCCUGGUUAGUACUUAGAUGGGAGAUCACCUAGGAAGACCAGGUGCUAUAGGUG